GAUGAACGCUGGCGGCGUGCCUAAUACAUGCAAGUCGAGCGAACGGACGAGAAGCUUGCUUCUCUGAUGUUAGCGGCGGACGGGUGAGUAACACGUGGAUAACCUACCUAUAAGACUGGGAUAACUUCGGGAAACCGUAGCUAAUACCGGAUAAUAUUUUGAACCGCAUGGUUCAAAAGUGAAAGACGGUCUUGCUGUCACUUAUAGAUGGAUCCGCGCUGCAUUAGCUAGUUGGUAAGGUAACGGCUUACCAAGGCAACGAUGCAUAGCCGACCUGAGAGGGUGAUCGGCCACACUGGAACUGAGACACGGUCCAGACUCCUACGGGAGGCAGCAGUGGGGAAUCUUCCGCAAUGGGCGAAAGCCUGACGGAGCAACGCCGCGUGGGUGAUGAAGGUCUUCGGAUCGUAAAACUCUGUUAUUAGGGAAGAACAUAUGUGUAAGUAACUGUGCACAUCUUGACGGUACCUAAUCAGAAAGCCACGGCUAACUACGUG
rnacentral:rRNA from 1 species